rnacentral:lncRNA from 14 species
CUUGCCCUCUGUGUUCCAAGCAGCGAUGCUGCCGUCAGCUCCAGGCUCAUCAGCCCUGCCCAUGUUAACCCCACUCAUGUCAUCCCAUUCCCCCCCAGCACAAAUGACAUGUGGUGUGGACGAGUUCCGCUGCAAGGACUCAGGCCGGUGCAUCCCAGCGCGCUGGAAGUGUGAUGGGGAGGACGACUGUGGGGAUGGGUCUGAUGAGCCCAAGGAGGAAUGCGAUGAACGUACCUGUGAGCCCUACCAGUUCCGCUGCAAGAACAACCGCUGCGUGCCGGGUCGCUGGCAGUGUGACUAUGACAACGACUGCGGGGACAACUCGGACGAGGAGAGCUGCAGUAUGUGCUGCCUUGGAGCCGUUGCUGUGCUGGGAGCUGGGGGAGAGUGGCUCAGAUCCCCCCUUCCAGCCCCAGUGCCCCCCAGCUCUAGAGGGGAGCAUCAAUGGAUGGGUGCUUGGUGCCAGGGCUCUGCCUGCCCCAAGUGGGACAGGUGGAAGGGAGGAGGUGACCCCAGCAUCCGCAUGGGCUGUGCCACAUCCCGGAGGGGCCGGGGCAGAGCCGGACCCUUUCCCCACCAUCACCUCCCAGCCGGGUCCUGCUGUCUCCCUGCAGCUCUCUAGGCUGCAGCUUUCUGUUUUCUGUUGGUUUCACAUCGUGGGGUUCAGUUUGUGCCAUUUCACUUCAUCUUAUGUUUUUCUCCAUUUUCACACUGUCGUUAUGGGGCACUCAGAGGUAGGUUCCUGCCAAAAUCUUUCUAAUUCCAUGUUCCUCUAAACCAAAUGAAGACCAUAAAUUCAAGGUGAGGGCAGAGGGGUCGGGACCAGACAACCCAGCCGGAUUUAUCCAGCAUCAGCACCAACAUCUCUCUCCACUGGAGCCGCAGUCAGGGAGGGUCCGACCCUGCUGCCUCCACUACCAGGGCCCAUGCAUGGCUCACACUUGGCUCCAGAAUCCAUCCCCUCCUUGACCCUUCCUGCUCCAGCUGGACACUCCCUGCCUCCCUUUUCCCCUAUAGUCCUGCUGGCUUCUGCUCUGCGGCCAGAGGGGCUGCCUGCCCCACAUGUCCUACACCAGGGCGAUAGGGAAGGGAAGGAUCCCAGUGGGAGAUUGCCCUCCUGCAGGCAGGUUUGGCACUGACUGUGUUGGUGUUGGCCCAUUGGGCUGCGAGGGCUCUGUCCCCACGCCAUGCAAGGAGGGGACGAUGUGCCCGCACUGCUAGACCUGGCCAUGGGCAGCAGGGAGCUGUAGGGCUGGUGGAGAAUGACUUGUGGGGACACAUGCAGCAGGGAAGCUGCCAGGAGCCGGUCUGUAUGGCCAUGGUACCCCCCAACAACCCCAUUUCCCUGCAGGGAACUGGGAUGGGAAGGGGCUGUGGGAUGGCAUCAGCCGUGCCCCUCUCUGGGAUCCCCCAGCUCUGCUUGCACCCCACUCUGUGCCACUGGACCCGUGUCUGUGUCAGCCUGUGCCCCCCUCGCAGCCUGCCUGCGGCUCCCACUGAGGGCUCACCCCAUGUUCUCUGCCCCCAGCACCCCGGCCCUGCUCUGAGAGCGAGUUCUCCUGUGCCAACGGCCGCUGCAUCGCCGGCAGAUGGAAGUGUGAUGGGGACCACGACUGUGCCGAUGGCUCCGAUGAGGUACCCUCACCCUGUGUGCCACUGGGGAUGUCCUUUGCCACCGAACAGGGGCUGAGAGCCUGCUCCUGCGUGCAGCCAUGGGAUGGGAUGGGAUGGGAUGGGA